rnacentral:lncRNA from 1 species
UGUCUGUUGUGUUGCCCUAGAUGUUGUGCUAAUGUUUAUCUGUUUGUCUGUUGUUUGCCUAGAUGUUGUUGGACUAAUGUUUAUCUGUUUGUCUAGAUGCUUGUUGUUGGACUCAUGUUUAUCUGUUUGUCUAGAUACUUGUUGUUGGGCUAAUGUUUAUCUGUUUGUCUAGAUGUUUGUUGUUGGGCUAAUGUUUAUCUGUUUGUCUGUUGUUUGCCUAGAUGUUGUUGGGCUAAUGUUUAUCUGUUUGUCUGUUGUUUGCCUAGAUGUUGUUGGAUAUGUUUUUUGUUUGUCUAGAUACUUUUGUGUGGGGGACUAAUGUUAUCUGUGGUCUAGUGCUUGUUGUUGGGCUAAUGUUUAUCUGUUUGUCUGUUGUUUGCCUAGAUGUUGUUGGACUAAUGUUUAUCUGUUUGUCUAGAUGCUUGUUGUUGGGCUAAUGUUUAUCUGUUUGUCUCUUCUUUGCCUAUAUGUUGUUGGGCACUAUCUUUAAAAAAGAUAUCCGACGUAUUUAAAUUUGAGUAUAUAUUUAAAACUAUCAUUUCGAUUUACCAUUUAAAUAACGUUUUCUCUGUUUGUGUUCAGUAUUCUCGGUCCUCGUAUCUUUCUGUUUACAUUCACCAAAAACCCACAGAAAUCUCACAUGGGUAGGUGCGUUCUAAAAGUCAUGUAUGUUAGUACAACAAAGUUUACAUUGAAAAUUAUAUAAUUGUCCCGAAAAAACAGCUGUCAUGGAUGCAAAGAGCUCUUGGAGAAACAAUUAUAUUAAUAAAAAAAUAUAAAUCUUUG